GAUGAACGCCGGCGGCGUGCUUAACACAUGCCAGUCGAACGGAAAGGCCGAAGCUUGCUUCGGUACUCGAGUGGCGAACGGGUGAGUAACACGUGGGUGAUCUGCCCUGUACUUCGGGAUAAGCUUGGGAAACUGGGUCUAAUACCGGAUAUGACGAUCUCUUGGAUGGGGUUGUGGAAAGCUUUUGCGGUAUGGGAUGAGCUCGCGGCCUAUCAGCUUGUUGGUGGGGUAAUGGCCUACCAAGGCGUCGACGGGUAGCCGGCCUGAGAGGGUGUACGGCCACAUUGGGACUGAGAUACGGCCCAGACUCCUACGGGAGGCAGCAGUGGGGAAUAUUGCACAAUGGGCGCAAGCCUGAUGCAGCGACGCCGCGUGGGGGAUGACGGCCUUCGGGUUGUAAACUCCUUUCGCAAUCGACGAAGCCUUUUGGUGACGGUAGGUUGAGAAGAAGCACCGGCUAACUACGUG
rnacentral:rRNA from 1 species